UUGGCAGUCAUUCAUGUACAAAAAUCUCUUAGUAUUGUAUUUCUCUUACAGACGGAUCGACCACCUUGGCGAAGCCUACUAUUUUUCACCUACUGAUAACUCUCUUCAAGCGAAGAAUGUUUUGGAGGUGAAUCCAUCACCCAUGGAGGUUUUUGGUGAGCUGGAUCUCAUCGAGCUGUCAUCUCAGAAUGAUGGUGAAGGAGCGGUGGCUGUAGCCCACCCCCCAACUAGGCCUCAACGUAGUGAUGUCCAAACUCUGGUCACC
rnacentral:lncRNA from 1 species